AGUGAACGCUGGCGGCGUGCUUAACACAUGCAAGUCGAACGAGAACGGAUUAUAGCUUGCUAUAAUUGUCAGCUAAGUGGCGCACGGGUGAGUAAUGUAUAGGUAAUGUGCCUCUUACUAAGGGAUAACAAUUGGAAACGAUUGCUAAUACCUUAUAUUCCUUUUUAUCAAAAGAUAAAAAGGGAAAGAUUUAUUGGUAAGAGAUUAGCCUGUAUUGUAUCAGUUAGUUGGUGGGGUAAUGACCUACCAAGACGAUGACGCAUAACUGGUUUGAUGGGAUAAUCAGUCACGCUGGAACUGAGACACGUUCCAGACUCCUACGGGAGGCAGCAGUGGGGAAUAUUGCACAAUGGACGAAAGUCUGAUGCAGCAACGCCGCGUGGAGGAUGACACAUUUCGGUGCGUAAACUCCUUUUAUAUAAGAAGAUAAUGACGGUAUUAUAUGAAUAAGCACCGGCUAACUCCGUGCCAGCCGCCGCAGUAA
rnacentral:rRNA from 1 species